rnacentral:lncRNA from 1 species
GUCUGGAGAAACAGCCUGUUAAGGAGGGUUUUGCUUGAUGGCUAACAACUGCACUCCCAAAAGUAUGAGUUGUAUCCAGAGCAAAAGAGCAAAGAAGAGUUCCAAGUGUCCCCAUAGCUACAAUUCCUAGGAUACUAAAAUGAGUUUGGAGGAAAAUUGGUGAAAUUGCAUUCAGUGGACCCUGACAACCUCUGAGAGCAAAAUCUGGACCAAAGUUGAAUCACUUCACAAAGGGAUUUCAGGUACACCUGUCCUCUGUAGCACUCUCUAGAGAUUAUUGAUGAGAGUUCAUUUCCUCUAAGCUU